GAGUUUUGGAGUAGACCAAAGUGUGGAGAUUGUUCAUUGGCACGAGAGUGCAGAGCGAAGUCUUGGAACAAAGAGAUCAAGAAACUUUAUUCUCAUACUGAUUUAAGAAUCAUAGAAUAAUACAACUUCAAAGAAAUAGUACUUUCACUAGGGCAAAUGGAGAGAGAAAGAGACAAGGUUAAGACAGAAGUGAAAUAAUUCAUUUGGACUUAAGUAAAGGGAAAAUGAGAAAAGAUCAAGAUGAUUCUAAUGUUUCUUAAAAGAAAGACACUGAAAACUACUUCUACCUUCUUUUUAGUGAUACGUCAAGAUUCACCUACAAACAUAGGUGUGUCAAAAAUCUAUGUAAACAUGGCAGUUGCAUAGCAAAGACAUAUCUAUUUUCUUUCAAAACAUUACUAAAAUAACAAUAAGACAAUCAAAUUGUGCCAGGCUACUAUGACAAAGACUGGCGCAAGCGCCCCAAAUUAUAAAAGAUAAAUUACCAAUGUUAAAUUAUAUUACUGUGAAUUUUGUGAACAUCAGAGAUGUUCACAAAAUCAGAGAUAAAAUAAAGGACCUCCAAAUAAUAGGAAGACUUGUGUG
rnacentral:lncRNA from 1 species